AUUGAACGCUGGCGGCAGGCCUAACACAUGCAAGUCGAGCGGUAGAGAGAAGCUUGCUUCUCUUGAGAGCGGCGGACGGGUGAGUAAUGCCUAGGAAUCUGCCUGGUAGUGGGGGAUAACGUUCGGAAACGGACGCUAAUACCGCAUACGUCCUACGGGAGAAAGCAGGGGACCUUCGGGCCUUGCGCUAUCAGAUGAGCCUAGGUCGGAUUAGCUAGUUGGUGAGGUAAUGGCUCACCAAGGCGACGAUCCGUAACUGGUCUGAGAGGAUGAUCAGUCACACUGGAACUGAGACACGGUCCAGACUCCUACGGGAGGCAGCAGUGGGGAAUAUUGGACAAUGGGCGAAAGCCUGAUCCAGCCAUGCCGCGUGUGUGAAGAAGGUCUUCGGAUUGUAAAGCACUUUAAGUUGGGAGGAAGGGUACUUACCUAAUACGUGAGUAUUUUGACGUUACCGACAGAAUAAGCACCGGCUAACUCUGUGCCAGCAGCCGCCGCAGUAAAC
rnacentral:rRNA from 1 species